CCUACGGGAGGCAGCAGUGAGGAAUAUUGGUCAAUGGACGAGAGUCUGAACCAGCCAAGUAGCGUGAAGGAUGACUGCCCUAUGGGUUGUAAACUUCUUUUAUAUGGGAAUAAAAUGUUCCACGUGUGGGAUUUUGUAUGUACCAUAUGAAUAAGGAUCGGCUAACUCCGUGCCAGCAGCCGCGGUAAUACGGAGGAUGCGAGCGUUAUCCGGAUUUAUUGGGUUUAAAGGGAGCGUAGGUGGAUUGUUAAGUCAGUUGUGAAAGUUUGCGGCUCAACCGUAAAAUUGCAGUUGAAACUGGCAGUCUUGAGUACAGUAGAGGUGGGCGGAAGUCGUGGUGUAGCGGUGAAAUGCUUAGAUAUCACGAAGAACUCCGAUUGCGAAGGCAGCUCACUGGACUGCAACUGACACUGAGGCUCGAAAGCGUGGGGAGCAAACAGGAUUAGAUACCCCGGUAGUC
rnacentral:rRNA from 1 species